GAUGAACGCUGGCAGCGUGCCUAAUACAUGCAAGUCGAGCGAACGGACGAGAAGCUUGCUUCUCUGAUGUUAGCGGCGGACGGGUGAGUAACACGUGGAUAACCUACCUAUAAGACUGGGAUAACUUCGGGAAACCGGAGCUAAUACCGGAUAAUAUUUUGAACCGCAUGGUUCAAAAGUAAAAGACGGUCUUGCUGUCACUUAUAGAUGGAUCCGCGCUGCAUUAGCUAGUUGGUAAGGUAACGGCUUACCAAGGCAACGAUGCAUAGCCGACCUGAGAGGGUGAUCGGCCACACUGGAACUGAGACACGGUCCAGACUCCUACGGGAGGCAGCAGUAGGGAAUCUUCCGCAAUGGGCGAAAGCCUGACGGAGCAACGCCGCGUGAGUGAUGAAGGUCUUCGGAUCGUAAAACUCUGUUAUUAGGGAAGAACAUAUGUGUAAGUAACUGUGCACAUCUUGACGGUACCUAAUCAGAAAGCCACGGCUAACUACGUG
rnacentral:rRNA from 1 species